UCGCAACGCAUCUCGUGUCCGAUAAAAAGAGUGUAUCUCCUGAGAAUAAUUAAGAAACAGAUUCUCCUGUUGGACACGGGACAAGAUUAGAAACUUAUAGGAUAAGUGUUGCAACCUUUUUGCAACUGGCCAUACGUCACUUUGGCUAUGUUCCAAAAUUUAGCUGCCAGCGCUGAAAAUCUAUAGUUUGUAUUACGUGUACUAAAUAAAUUUUCAAUAUUGGCAGUGAAUAUUGGAACGCAGCCUUUAUAUUUAUAUUUAUUAUGAGUAUACUUAUGAGUUCCUAUGUUACUAUGAGUUCUUAUCUCCAACUUACAUAUUUAUUCGAAUCCAUUUCAACAGAAGUCGGCAAGAGUAAAAGAUGAGAAUUUAUUGCGGGUGAAGACUCUUUUUUUUUCCUUGUAGCACAUGUUAUGACCACACCAUUCACGCGAGCGCAAGAGCUUCCAUCUCUUAUGUAAAUCAUACUUUGCACAUCAUAAUAUCCACGGUCAUCUUUCGAAUCACUUUUAUAUUUCAAAACACGUUUAUGUUUCGAGUUACGUUUACAUUUCCGUACCCCGUCCGAUCUUAUGCUUACUUAUAUUUGCUGUUCAUACUUCGGUGAGUUCGACUUGGAUGUUUUUUGACAUUGAUGAUCUCGAUGGCCUAUGACUUCGAAGAAUAUGCAUUCGACGAUCAUGAAUUCGGCAAUGAACUCAAUCCAUACGAACUUACUAGGUGUCCGUGUCUGUCAUGAUAAUUUCUUGAUAUAUAAUUUAGAAUUAGAACUUGAUAAUAAAAUUUGUAUUAUGUGCGUGUGUAUGUAACAUUUUGAAACACUGAGCAAAGCAUCGGUUGCGUUCGGCAGAACGCGUUUAUUUUACAAUUUGGAAAUUUUUUGUGUACUGAGAUUGGAUUAUUCCUAUAGAUCUGAGAGAAUAGUCCAAUCUCAGCUCAAGGAAUUUCCAACUGUUUCAAAAUAAAUAUUCUGCUGAACGUGGUCAUUAUAAUAAUAAUAUUUAAAGAAUAAUAUUUUUAAAUCGGUAAGCGUAUAUGAGAGAGAGAGAGAGAGAGAAAGAGAGAGAAAGUAAGAGGCAAGAUCAGAGGGCGUUAACGUACUACGAGCUUCGUCAUAUCGCGCUUGCGCGCUCCGUCUCGACCAGGCAAUCGAGGAAGUCUCUCUAUCGUAUAUACCGUGCUAUUAAAGUAGAUGCAAAUUGUAUUUUUUCUGAAGGUCGUUGGAAGAUAUUUAACAAAGAUUAUUGGCCGUCCUUCGCAUUUUAAAAGAAUACUCCAAGGUUCGUCGUUUGAACGUAGAUAAACAGCAUCCCAGGAGGAAUAAGUGGUGGAAGGGCGGAGACGUGACGUACGUUGAGAGAGCGAGAAGAGACGAUCGAGACGGCGAGAGAUCGCAGAGGAGCGAUUUGGAGAGAGGAAAGGAGACGGUUGGAAAUCUCGUGGGUGGGAGACACACGAACAUCGUGAAUUCGCGAGCGAGCUAUUGCACAGGGCGCCUCAAAAGUCGCUAGCUUUUCUCUGUGCAUUUAAAUCAUCAGAGGAUUCGAGAGUCCUGGUCGCUACACCGUAAAUCAAGAAAAGAGGAGGAACAUGAGGGGAGGAGUAGAGAAGGGAGAAGAAAGAGAGAGAAGCGCAGAAGAGAAAGAACAGAAUGUGUCGGUACCUUUGCUGAAAAAGAAGGCCAACUGCGCCGUGGGCACCGUGAUACGUCGUCGACGGCGUUUCACAUUGACAUGAAAACAGCCACUGGCGGGGCAUUCUUUUAUUUACGUAACCGUCUCCCUAUCGCGGAAGAAAUCUCACCGGGAGAGAAGAUCGAUCGAUCGUAUCUGCGCGUACUUGAUCGUUGAACGCCGCUUACGCUUCGCGCGAACGUGGAAUCACGCGAACGAGGGUUGGGAGUCACGAAUACGUAGAUUUAAUUGUAAGCCCGCCACAACUCGUCGAGUGAAUUGCAUAUUAUUAGCGGUGAACUAAUAUUCGGCUGCUAUACCUGGAAAUUGUCGGCGCAUUUGGGCACAAUGUAGCUCGAAGCCCUUGUAUCUCGGAACUUUUUCGCCGCGUAUCAAACGGGAGAAAAACAACAAAUCUGACGAUAUCGAUGUUUAUUUACACUCAUCUCCGAUAAUUGUUGUAUACCGAUACCGAUAUCGCGUGUCGACGAUAAUAUGUAGAAGCAUUCUCUCUUUAUGUAUCUUCAAAACAAACGUAAU